rnacentral:rRNA from 1 species
UGGGGAAUCUUAGACAAUGGGGGAAACCCUGAUCUAGCCAUGCCGCGUGAGUGACGAAGGCCCUAGGGUCGUAAAGCUCUUUCGCCAGGGAUGAUAAUGACAGUACCUGGUAAAGAAACCCCGGCUAACUCCGUGCCAGCAGCCGCGGUAAUACGGAGGGGGUUAGCGUUGUUCGGAAUUACUGGGCGUAAAGCGUACGUAGGCGGACUAUUAAGUCAGAGGUGAAAUCCCGGGGCUCAACCCCGGAACUGCCUUUGAUACUGGUAGUCUUGAGUUCGAGAGAGGUGAGUGGAAUUCCGAGUGUAGAGGUGAAAUUCGUAGAUAUUCGGAGGAACACCAGUGGCGAAGGCGGCUCACUGGCUCGAUACUGACGCUGAGGUACGAAAGUGUGGGGAGCAAACAGGAUUAGAUACCCCCGUAGUCC